AGUGAACGCUGGCGGUAGGCCUAACACAUGCCAGUCGAACGGCAGCACAGUAAGAGCUUGCUCUUACGGGUGGCGAGUGGCGGACGGGUGAGGAAUACAUCGGAAUCUACUUUUUCGUGGGGGAUAACGUAGGGAAACUUACGCUAAUACCGCAUACGACCUACGGGUGAAAGCAGGGGAUCUUCGGACCUUGCGCGAUUGAAUGAGCCGAUGUCGGAUUAGCUAGUUGGCGGGGUAAAGGCCCACCAAGGCGACGAUCCGUAGCUGGUCUGAGAGGAUGAUCUGCCACACUGGAACUGAGACACGGUCCAGACUCCUACGGGAGGCAGCAGUGGGGAAUAUUGGACAAUGGGCGCAAGCCUGAUCCAGCCAUACCGCGUGGGUGAAGAAGGCCUUCGGGUUGUAAAGCCCUUUUGUUGGGAAAGAAAAGCAGCAGGUUAAUACCCCGCUGUUCUGACGGUACCCAAAGAAUAAGCAUCGGCUAACUUCGUG
rnacentral:rRNA from 1 species